rfam:Salmo salar isolate Sally breed double haploid chromosome ssa09, whole genome shotgun sequence.
UACAUUCACUACUGUAAGUUGCUCUGGAUAAGAGUGUCUGCUAAAUGACGUAAU